rnacentral:rRNA from 1 species
GAUGAACGCUGGCGGCGUGCCUAAUACAUGCAAGUAGAACGCUGAAGGAAGGAGCUUGCUCUUUCCGGAUGAGUUGCGAACGGGUGAGUAACGCGUAGGUAACCUGCCUGGUAGCGGGGGAUAACUAUUGGAAACGAUAGCUAAUACCGCAUAACAGUAGAUGUUGCAUGAUAUCUACUUAAAAGGUGCAAUUGCACCACUACCAGAUGGACCUGCGUUGUAUUAGCUAGUUGGUGAGGUAACGGCUCACCAAGGCGACGAUACAUAGCCGACCUGAGAGGGUGAUCGGCCACACUGGGACUGAGACACGGCCCAGACUCCUACGGGAGGCAGCAGUAGGGAAUCUUCGGCAAUGGACGGAAGUCUGACCGAGCAACGCCGCGUGAGUGAAGAAGGUUUUCGGAUCGUAAAGCUCUGUUGUAAGAGAAGAACGAGUGUGAGAGUGGAAAGUUCACACUGUGACGGUAUCUUACCAGAAAGGGACGGCUAACUACGCG